GACGUAGGGCGCGAGCGUUGUCCGGAUUUAUUGGGCGUAAAGAGCUCGUAGGCGGCUUGUUGCGUCGACUGUGAAAACCCGCGGCUUAACUGCGGGCUUGCAGUUGAUACGGGCAGGCUAGAGUUCGGUAGGGGAGACUGGAAUUCCUGGUGUAGCGGUGAAAUGCGCAGAUAUCAGGAAGAACACCGGUGGCGAAGGCGGCUCUCUGGGCCUUACCUGACGCUGAGGAGCGAAAGCGUGGGUAGCGAACAGG
rnacentral:rRNA from 1 species